rnacentral:rRNA from 1 species
AUUGAACGCUGGCGGCAUGCCUUACACAUGCAAGUCGAACGGUAACGCGGGGGCAACCCUGGCGACGAGUGGCGAACGGGUGAGUAAUACAUCGGAACGUACCCAGUAGUGGGGGAUAGCUCGGCGAAAGCCGGAUUAAUACCGCAUACGACCCAUGGGUGAAAGCGGGGGAUCGCAAGACCUCGCGCUAUUGGAGCGGCCGAUGUCGGAUUAGCUAGUUGGUGAGGUAAAGGCNCACCAAGGCUACGAUCCGUAGCUGGUCUGAGAGGACGACCAGCCACACUGGGACUGAGACGCGGCCCAGACUCCUACGGGAGGCAGCAGUGGGGAAUUUUGGACAAUGGGCGCAAGCCUGAUCCAGCCAUGCCGCGUGUGUGAAGAAGGCCUGGUUGUAAG